CCUACGGGAGGCAGCAGUAGGGAAUCUUUCACAAUGGGCGAAAGCCUGAUGGAGCAACGCCGCGUGCAGGAUGAAGGCCUGCGGGUUGUAAACUGCUUUUAUAAGCGAGAAAUAUGAUGGUAACUUAUGAAUAAGGAUCGGCUAACUACGUGCCAGCAGCCGCGGUCAUACGUAGGAUCCGAGCAUUAUCCGGAAUAACUGUGUGUAAAGAGUUGCGUAGGUGGCAUAAUAAGUAGCUAGUGAAAUCUGGUGGCUCAACCAUUCAGACUAUUAGCUAAACUGUUAAGCUCGAGACCGUUAGGGGCAUCUGGAAUGUCUAGUGUAGGAGUGAAAUCCGGAGAUAUUAGAAGGAACACCAAUAGCGUAGGCAGGAUGCUGGGACGGUUCUGACACUAAGGCACGAAAGCGUAGGGAGCAAACGGGAUUAGAUACCCUUGUAGUC
rnacentral:rRNA from 1 species